rnacentral:rRNA from 1 species
GACGAACGCUGGCGGCGUGCUUAACACAUGCAAGUCGAACGGAAAGGCCCUGCUUUUGUGGGGUGCUCGAGUGGCGAACGGGUGAGUAACACGUGAGUAACCUGCCCUUGACUUUGUGAUAACUUCAGGAAACUGGGGCUAAUACCCGAUAGGAGCUCCUGCUGCAUGGUGGGGGUUGGAAAGUUUCGGCGGUUGUGGAUGGACUCGCGGCUUAUCAGCUUGUUGGUGGGGUAGUGGCUUACCAAGGCUUCGACGGCUAGCCGGCCUGAGAGGGUUACCGGCCACAUUGGGACUGAGAUACGGACCAGACUCGUAUGGGAGGCAGUAGUGGGGAAUAUUGCACAAUGGGCGGAAGCCUGAUGCAGCAACGCCGCGUGCGGGAUGACGGCUUUCGGGUUGUAAACCGCUUUCGCCUGUGACGAAGCGUGAGUGACGGUAAUGGGUAAAGAAGCACCGGCUAACUACGUG